rnacentral:lncRNA from 1 species
AUGGACACAUGAAACACAUUGUGAACCUUAGAAAGUUCUGGAAGCAGUGCUAGUCUAUAGGUGGUGGUACCAAUCCUGUUUAAGACUUCAAAUGGUCUAAUAAAUCGGGGGUUUAGUUUUUCUCUUCUGUCGAACCUACUGAUUUCCUUGAAAGGAGUGACCUUAAGGAACACCCGGUCGCCUUUCUCAAAUUCCAAAUCUCUCCUCCGGGUGUCCGUAUAACUCUUCGGCCUGCUCUGAAUCGUUUAAAUGUUCUUUCUUAUCUUAACUAUUUUAGAUGUA